rnacentral:rRNA from 1 species
UACGUAGGGGGCGAGCGUUGUCCGGAUUCAUUGGGCGUAAAGGGUGCGUAGGUGGCGCUGUAAGUCGGGUGUGAAAUUUCGGAGCUUAACUCCGAAACUGCAUUCGAUACUGCGGUGCUUGAGGACUGGAGAGGAGACUGGAAUUCAUGGUGUAGCAGUGAAAUGCGUAGAGAUCAUGAGGAAGACCAGUGGCGAAGGCGGGUCUCUGGACAGUUCCUGACACUGAGGCACGAAGGCCAGGGGAGCAAACGGG